AUUUAUCCCCCAGCUAAAAUGAGCGCUGCUGUACCCAACCAUCGAAGGACCAAGCCUGGUGGCAUAAAGCCAGGGGCUGCUAACAGUGGUGUGACCGGACCAACCUCGCAGAUCCCGGGUCUGUCCCAGAGCGCCAACGAGGCCAACGCCCAGGUGGAGAGGAUCAGCGGUCGGAGAGUUGGAAUAUUUGAGUCCGACUCGGAGUACGUGAAGCUCGCAAAGCAGGGGGGGCACAAAGGUGAGCUCUUUGUUGUUCAUGCCACACAGUCAUGAGAAGAAACAAACAAUCAUUUAUUUUACAACAAAACAAGCAGUUCCGUUAGGAUUAGGUAUGUUUUGUGAUGCGAAGAAAACUGCAUAGACAAAGCCCCGCCCCCUUUAGUCAUUUGGAUUCAAACCCAUGCUUGGGGUUGUAAAUGUUUCACCUACGACGCUGUUGACGUAGGCACUUUUUGUCAGAGCAGGAGUGGGCAGAGUUUCUCUGAAAUUAAGUUUUACAAACAAUAUUAGGAAUGAUCUCAUCACGUGUUUCUCCUCCAGCGUCCUUAAAUCUUCUGGAGCCCAGAUCCAUUUAUUGGGGUUUGUUUUAAACGAGCACGUCUGUAGCAUAGUGGUGGCCAUUUCUUACCAGAAAUAGUAUUUAUGUAAUUAAUAUUACUGGCGGUGUUUACUCCGAACUCAACUCCAGGACAAACAAACAAACAAACAAACAAAAAGAGCACGCCCAGCCUCGGGAAAAGUCUUUAAAGGUAAAUCUGCUAAAGUCCUUGACAGAAAACAGUUAUUUAGUGGUGAUUUAGUUCUAUUUGACGAAUUUUAAGCUCAAAACCGCUGCGAGAAGUUACAGCGACAGCACUCGUACUCCCUGUGAAUGCCGCUCUGCCACAUCGGCUGCAGCGUGCUGUCUCUGACUGCGAUUGGUCAGAUGAUGACACGUGACUAACACACUAGAACAAAGAUUGUUUUUGAACAAGAGCAGUCCCCUCUCCUUUCUCUGAUUGAUUUCCAUAAGAGUGACUGAAACCCAUCGCUGAAACCCGACAGAAGACACCCCCCGCCCCCCAAAAACCAAAAGUCUUCGAAACAUGUGAACGCCACAUUUGGAUUCUAAAACGGUGAUUUUUGCCCAAAAGCGACAGGUCUGCAGGUGUGCAACAGUGCCAACAGUAAUAUUUUAUGAUAUACUCUGCCUACCAUUGGUCUCUAUCUCUAAGGUUUAAAAUAGCACGAUCUGGAAUCUUUAAGGUUUUGAUCGUUCUUGAAUUUGUAACUAAAUGUCACAGAAAUUGGUUUUAACUAGGGGGUGUGUAUUGGCAAGAACCUGUCGAUGUGACAUGGAGAUGAAACUAUGUAUAUAGAUUUGUGAUACUAGAAGCCAGACGAUAUUUGCAAUUUUUAAGACAGAAUUCAAUUGGAAAACUCAGGCCUGACACUCCUGAGACACAUCCUAUGUUACCGUAGGAUCUUGUUCCGUCAGAAUAAAGGCGGUAAAGUCUGCUGCCACCUAGCAGUCGGAGUUGGAAUUGCAGGGCACCAAAAAGAUACAGAAAAUGUGUGCGUGUUAAUUCUCAAUAAAAAAUCUAUUUUAUUUCAUAAACUGAUGAAUAGCAACAAUUCUGUACACCCCUAGUUUUAAAACAAAGUCUAAUAAGGGGAAGCGUAUGUGUUCACGUAUGUUAGAAAACCACCUUGUGGUGUAAAAGGCGUGUUUGUCAUACCACUCCAAUGAUACAGAAUUCUCUCCCGAGCCUCCACAGACUUGAGCAAUAUUUUAUUCUCUUCCAAACAGGAAGUGAAGGGUGUUGUUAACUCGUCGUAGCUCUCACAUCAAACACCAUGUGGCCAUCAAGGCCUUCUGCUACACAGCUAAAUAGUUCUGAGUCGCUCAAGAUAAGACGGUCUUUAAUCUUAACUGUAUGUCUUGUUUUACGAGUUGCAUCGUCCACAAAUAAAACCCAUUAUUGCCCCCAACGGAUUCCACAACACCAUGUCGUCUGGUUCUGAUUUAGAGCCGUCGCGUUAGGCUGACGGUACGGUAAAAGAAGUUUUCCAUCUCUUAUUAAUGCCUUUGUUCCCGUGGGAGGUUUCUCAGGUCCAAGUUGGUAAUCUCUCUGCUGAGUUUGUUUCCUGUGUGGAAACGU
rnacentral:lncRNA from 1 species